rnacentral:rRNA from 1 species
GACGAACGCUGGCGGCGUGCUUAACACAUGCAAGUCGUACGGUAAGGCCCUUUCGGGGGUACACGAGUGGCGAACGGGUGAGUAACACGUGAGUAACCUGCCCACAACUUUGGGAUAACGCUAGGAAACUGGUGCUAAUACUGGAUAUGUGCUCCUGCUGCAUGGUGGGGGUUGGAAAGCUCCGGCGGUUGUGGAUGGACUCGCGGCCUAUCAGCUUGUUGGUGGGGUAGUGGCCUACCAAGGCGGCGACGGGUAGCCGGCCUGAGGGGGUGACCGGCCACAUUGGGACUGAGAUACGGCCCAGACUCCUACGGGAGGCAGCAGUGGGGAAUAUUGCACAAUGGGCGCCAGCCUGAUGCAGCAACGCCGCGUGCGGGAUGACGGCCUUCGGGUUGAAAACCGCUUUCAGCAGGGACGAAGCUUUUUGUGACGGUACCUGCAGAAGAAGCACCGGCUAACUACGUG